UACGUACAGAAGCAUGGUAAUAUGCACAUAAAUUGAUUUGGGCCUCUAGGCCUGUCCUCUCUGAUGCCUUUCGACUUUGAUUUGAGGACAUGGUUCUGCAGCAAAACA